rnacentral:lncRNA from 1 species
CGGCCCCUGCGACUCCUGGUGCCCGGCUGGGACACGUGGGGCCGGCUUUGCGGAGUCAGCAGGGCCAAGGUGCGCGGGGUGCGCUCCCCCCCGGAACCCCGCCCCUUCUCACCCCAUCUCGCUUUUUUGGGAGAGGAGAGUGGAGCCGUCAGCACCCACUGGCAGUGUCGGUGCUGUGCUGGGAGUCCUCCCAGACCAGCCCACUCCUCCUGGUUUGAGCUUCCGAUCCAUCCCUACUCCUUUACGGUUCUUCUUCCCCGUAGUUAACCUGCGGAGAGGAGGAGGUACUGUCUCCGCACAAGGUACUGCGGAGGUACCUUGCGGAGGAACCUUGCGGAGGAGGUACUGCGGUGGGGAGGCAGGGGGGAGGCGCAUCUGCCUCCGCACAAGGGGUCUAAUGGCUUGCUUAUUCCUUCUAGGCCAGGUUGAAAGGUUUUUAAAAGCAGGUGGGGGUGCCAGGAUAGUGAGAAAAACAAGAAAAGACACUGCUUUUUACCCCAUGCGGGGCAGAGCUGGUCUCCUUUCUGCAGGUGUUGAGGGGAGUUGAGUAGGAGCCCAGAGCUGGUACAGGCCCCGUUUAACGUGCCCCCGCAGAGUGAGGGCUGGGGGUCACCCCAUAGGCAGGGGAGCCCUUCUGGGAGGGAAUUCCUGCUUAGGUGGGAGGUUGACCUGAAUGACAUCUAGGUCCUCUACCUCCCAGAUGCCGAAUUUUCAGGGAAGGAACCAAAUGGAUGUAUGGCCCAUGCCUGGGUUUGAAUCCCAGUUCUGGCCUUCAUUCCUCCAGGCCUCCAUUUCCUUGUCUGCACUAUGGGGCCAUGGUGAGAACUCUGAAAUAACACCAACUGCCUGGUGCUUGGUAGGUGCCACAUUACAAAAGCGGUGGGAAGGAGGCCCUUUGGUUUCCAUGUCGGUGGUCAUGUCCCACAGUCCCCGUUGCCAUCCUGAUUAUGGAAAACUUCAUUUCAUGCUCCAAAUGUUCCUCAAUUCCUGGCACUGUUCUAGGUCCUGCACCCAGGCUGGUAUGAAAAAGGUGCCGAGAAGGUCCCAUGCAUCACCAGCCUGGAGGUAGCAGCAGAAGGGAAACCAGUGCCUCUGAGAGUGGGCAACUGUGCCCCAUCCACCUCCUCUUCUUCUUGGAGAUCUCAAGAUAAGACAAGAGACAUCAACCUGGGAUUGGGUUUCUGGGCAGAGAGUAAAAGUGAGCUCCUUCUGCCUGUGCACGCAGCUUCCCUCGGUACUGGGAUAGCCGAGAUCCCUUACUAGAAGCAGCUCACAAAACCUCCCCCAGUUACUGGGAUAGCCCAGACACCUUCCUAGGGCAGCAGCGGAAGAAAGAAGGGGACAAAAUACCAACGACCAGAAAGAAGAAAGAACUUAGCCUCAGUCACCAGCCACUGGGAGCUGAUAGUAACUGAAGGGAUGGAAAGCCCUCUGGGACAGUUUUAGUGGGAGCCCUCCAGAGCCUGGAGAGACUGCAGGUGGAGCAGGAAGGUGGGGAAGAAUUAGAGCAGUGACCCCGGCCACUUUUGGCCUCACGGUUCUGCACAAUGAGACAUUGCUCAUCUUCAGAGAACCGUGCCAUUCUGGCCAUCUGGCAUCCUAGACAAUUUUCCACUGUCUCUCAGUAUCCAGCCAUCCAGCCAUCUAGCCUCCUAACUACUUCUCUGUGCUGGUCCAGCCCAGUGCUCAGAGUUAGGAUAUUUUUAUGAAUAAAACAGACCUAGCUUCUGCCCUCGUGGAGCUUACAGCGUGGGGCGAAAGGAGACUGAUCAAAAUGCCACACACAUGUAAUUUACAACCUUGGGAAGUGCCAAGAAGGGGAAGUGUUGGGUGCCACUGAGAACAUUCACAGAGGUUAACCUGGGGCUGAGGUGGAGGAAAGGUCAGAUGGAAGCUGUCUAACCACCCUGGGCUUCUGGCUUAGGAUGUGUAGGGCUAGCAGCUCAGCCCAUGAGGUUGUGUCUUGAACUUGGGUAUUGAUGGAAUAGCUAUAGAAACAGAACAACCAUGAAGUGAAGAUGGUGAAUGAAGAUCCUCUCAUCAGCUUGCGAUUGCAUGACAGAGGAGGCUGCAAGGACACUCAGGUGUGAAGACGGGUGAGUUGCCAGUUCUGGAGUGCAGAUGUGGUUACCAGCAGCCUCUGUUUUGGAGGCUACUCUGAAGCCAUAUUCAGCUUGGGAGGCCUCCUGCAGGGUUGACCCAGUUCUGGAACAAACCAAGGUGUUUGGGUCUGAACCAGGGCCUGAGCAGAUCCCAUCCCAUAUCCAGCUGAACUGUCUCACCCAGUCUGCAUUGAGUAUCGGUCCCAAGUGGAGGCCACAGGAAGAAGUGCUGUUCCCUAGUGGUCUUAGAUGCUUCAUCAGCUAAAGCGUGGGGCUCAGUCUCCUGGUGUCCACCUGUAAAAUGAAAGUGGUGUCCCAGAGUCUCUCCAAAGCUCCUUGUGGUGACUCUAUGGUCCUAAGAAACCGUUCACUUUAUAGGCCUAUCUCAGUGCACAGCUGAUGCCUCUGAUGCAGGGGUGGCUGUGGCUGUGCUGCCGCUCCUAUGGGGGAGGCAUCCUGGCCAGCACGCUCUUUGCACCUGAUGACUCCCUACGGCAGCUGCACAGCACUGCAGUUAGAAGCCCAGGCCACGUGGAUUUCAGCCCCGGCCCUACCACUCAGUAGCUGUGUGACCCUGGGCCAGGUGUUUGACCUCCCAAGGCACCCAUUUCCUCAUGGAGGUAAUAAUAGUAUCUAUAACCUCAGUUUACCACACGGAUGAAAAGACAAUGCAUGUAAGGGUUCCUCCGCGGCACCUGGCUCAGUGAGCAAUCUGUAAUUGUGAGCUGUUGUCAUUAAGAGGCCGUGGGAACACUAGUCGGUGGUGUGUAUAUCCAGGGGUGGGUGUUGCUUCUGGCAUCUCUCCUAAAUUCAAGCUGAUGAUGAAAGUCAUCAGAGAGACAGAACAAAAUACCCCACAAGCUAUGACAAAAGGAACCUGUAUUUCAUAAAUCAGAGAAGAGUAAAGGACAGAGACCAAAGCCAAUAACUAGUGUUUAAACAUGCAGAGAGAAAGAGAGACAGAGAGAGAGAUGUUUCCUCUGCCUUCCACUACCAUGGGCAGGUGGGAAAUACCACCGACCCUGGGGACCCUGGGAUGGUCCCUGAGUGGGCCGUGUGCCAGGAGCCUGGCCAGAGAGCCAAGAGUGGUCAUGGCCCCCUGGGAGUUCUACUCUUUUCUAGGCAGCAGCAGUGACUGAGACCUUGUACACAAAACUCAUUCAUUCAAUCAGUAUUUAUCUAGGACUUCCAGAAACAGUGCUAAGCUGUGCUGGAGAGUGAUAGUAAAAAAGACACAGUCCCUACCAGCGAGAGACAUUGGGUCCAGCUGAUGAGUAAGACAAGCCAACAGAGUAGGGCAACAAGACCAGGAUCCCUUCGGGGCAUUACUGAGCACACGGCCUCGGUCUGGAAUUCUGGACACAUUCUUCACCUUAACUGGGGGUGCAUUGGGGAUUUAAAACCCCCAAGAGCCAGGGAUCUUUCCCACCCAAGCUAAUUUCUGGGCAGCUGUGCCACUGCAGGGCAUGCAGAAGGAAGAGAGCCUUCCAGAGGAAAGUCGCCUUGUUCCUUGCUUUGUGACCCUCAUCUCUGCGAGGUAGAGAAGAAAAGGAGGGCUCUUCCAUCGGGAGCUUCCAAGGUUCCGGGUGAGAGCUAGCCAGCUCUGCAUUUGGAGCAGAGAGAGACAGGAAUUUGGGACACUAGGUCACAAGUUGGUCUCUUCCUUUGUCAGCAGUCCAUUCAACAUGGCAAUGCCCACACCCACCUCACAAGGCAUGGAUGACACAAAGAGAUGGCUUGCCUGCAAGAGACCCAGCUGGUCUGGAGUUGGAGGCACACUUCAUUUCUCUGCCCAGCUCGGCAGGCGGCUGGAGCAAACCAGGAGAUCGCCUCAAAUGUUUUAAAUGUCAAUAUGGUCCCUUCUUGCUGGCUUGCCAAGAUUUGACCAGCUAAAUUGGCCUGUGUGGUGUGUUCCCUGCAGUGCACGAUGAGAUAAAAAUGACUGGGCAUCCAGAUUAAUGACUGGAUCACAUGCAGGAACGUACUGGCUGUGAGCAGCCCUGGGCCAGGGCAGAGGUGAACUUGACAAUCAUGUGGACGCUGGCUUUUGAUUACUGCUUCUUCUGGGCUCACGCUACCCAGGGCUCUCUUUAGACCAUCUCUAGGUGAACUUUCUGCCCCAGGAAUGAUCACCUCCAUUUUACUGGUGAGAGGUUCAAGGACUUCCCUUCCUUCUUUCCUCCCUUCCCCUUCUCUCCACUUCCUUCUCCUUCCCUCCUACAUCAUUUUUCCCUUUCCUUUCUUCCUCCCUUCCUUUAGCAAAUAGCCCUGGAGCAGCUGACCGGUUCUAGGAGCUGAGAACAGGGUGAUGGGUAAGAGGGACAAGGGCUUGCUCUCACGGUGUUUACAUUCUAGUGGGGGCAGGAGACAAGUCAACAGAUCAAUAAUUUCAGAUAAGAACAGCUGCUCUAAGAAGAACAACUGGGGAGUGAGAUGCAGUCCACUUUAGGCCGGUGGUUGGGGACGGCUUCUCUUGAGAGGUGGCAUUUAGGGGACUAAAUGGUAACAAUGAGCUGGCCUUGGGCAGGUCUGGGGGCAGAGCCAUCAGUGCCAGGGCACAGAGCUAGGAAAUGCAGAGCAGCUGGUACCCACGACUGGUCUUGCCUGAACCCCUAAUCCUUGCUCUUUCUGCCACAUCCUGCUUUCCCACUUGGCCAAAGAAUUGUGGUUGGCCAAAGGUGGGGCUAAGCUGUGCAGUGGGAGGGGCCAGGCUGAGCUGGAGGUGGCCAGGAGCCUCCUGGUACAGGGCCCUGGUGCCAGUGUCCUCACCCUCCCAGAAUCCUGUUCAUUUGUGUUGAGGACAUGGGGUGAAGGAUCUGAAAAUGCAUGCGCAGGCAGACGACCCACCCAGGCCAUUCACAGCCGCAGCAGUUUGGGACUCUCCGCUUGGCCCAGGUAGGGAGGCACUUGCGGUCCUUCCCAGGCCUGCCGUGAGGCUCCAGGGCCAGCGCCUAUCCCCAGCCCCAAGGAGGCACUCCGAAGAACCUAUUUUAAAUCUCAGCUCAGCAUUUUUGGCCAACUUACAGAGAAGCUGCAAGAUGAGUAAAGGAACUUGCCUAUAUUUUUUAUCUAGAUUUACCAGUUGUUGACAUUUGCCCAUCUGCUUUGUCAUUGGUGCUCUCUCUAUUCUGUGUGUGUGUGUGUGUGUGUGUGUGUGUGUGUGUGUGUGUGUGUGUGUUUGUGUUUGUU